rnacentral:rRNA from 1 species
CCUACGGGAGGCAGCAGUGGGGAAUAUUGGACAAUGGGGGCAACCCUGAUCCAGCCAUGCCGCGUGUGUGAAGAAGGCCCUCGGGUUGUAAAGCACUUUCAGUGAGGAAGAACGCCUGGUGGUUAAUACCCAUCAGGAAAGACAUCACUCACAGAAGAAGCACCGGCUAACUCCGUGCCAGCAGCCGCGGUAAUACGGAGGGUGCGAGCGUUAAUCGGAAUUACUGGGCGUAAAGCGCGCGUAGGUGGCUUGAUAAGCCGGUUGUGAAAGCCCCGGGCUCAACCUGGGAACGGCAUCCGGAACUGUCAAGCAAGAGUGAAGGAGAGGAAGGUAGAAUUCCCGGUGUAGCGGUGAAAGGCGUAGAGAUCGGGAGGAAUACCAGUGGCGAAGGCGGCCUUCUGGACUGACACUGACACUGAGGUGCGAAAGCGUGGGUAGCAAACAGGAUUAGAUACCCUUGUAGUC